GAAGGUGUGCUGUGAGGCAUGCUGGAGGUAUCAGAAGUGCGAAUGCUGACAUAAGUAACGAUAAAGCGGGUGAAAAGCCCGCUCGCCGGAAGACCAAGGGUUCCUGUCCAACGUUAAUCGGGGCAGGGUGAGUCGACCCCUAAGGCGAGGCCGAAAGGCGUAGUCGAUGGGAAACAGGUUAAUAUUCCUGUACUUGGUGUUACUGCGAAGGGGGGACGGAGAAGGCUAUGUUGGCCGGGCGACGGUUGUCCCGGUUUAAGCGUGUAGGCUGGUUUUCCAGGCAAAUCCGGAAAAUCAAGGCUGAGGCGUGAUGACGAGGCACUACGGUGCUGAAGCAACAAAUGCCCUGCUUCCAGGAAAAGCCUCUAAGCAUCAGGUAACAUCAAAUCGUACCCCAAACCGACACAGGUGGUCAGGUAGAGAAUACCAAGGCGCUUGAGAGAACUCGGGUGAAGGAACUAGGCAAAAUGGUGCCGUAACUUCGGGAGAAGGCACGCUGAUAUGUAGGUGAAGUCCCUCGCGGAUGGAGCUGAAAUCAGUCGAAGAUACCAGCUGGCUGCAACUGUUUAUUAAAAACACAGCACUGUGCAAACACGAAAGUGGACGUAUACGGUGUGACGCCUGCCCGGUGCCGGAAGGUUAAUUGAUGGGGUUAGCCGCAAGGCGAAGCUCUUGAUCGAAGCCCCGGUAAACGGCGGCCGUAACUAUAACGGUCCUAAGGUAGCGAAAUUCCUUGUCGGGUAAGUUCCGACCUGCACGAAUGGCGUAAUGAUGGCCAGGCUGUCUCCACCCGAGACUCAGUGAAAUUGAACUCGCUGUGAAGAUGCAGUGUACCCGCGGCAAGACGGAAAGACCCCGUGAACCUUUACUAUAGCUUGACACUGAACAUUGAGCCUUGAUGUGUAGGAUAGGUGGGAGGCUUUGAAGUGUGGACGCCAGUCUGCAUGGAGCCGACCUUGAAAUACCACCCUUUAAUGUUUGAUGUUCUAACGUUGACCCGUAAUCCGGGUUGCGGACAGUGUCUGGUGGGUAGUUUGACUGGGGCGGUCUCCUCCUAAAGAGUAACGGAGGAGCACGAAGGUUGGCUAAUCCUGGUCGGACAUCAGGAGGUUAGUGCAAUGGCAUAAGCCAGCUUGACUGCGAGCGUGACGGCGCGAGCAGGUGCGAAAGCAGGUCAUAGUGAUCCGGUGGUUCUGAAUGGAAGGGCCAUCGCUCAACGGAUAAAAGGUACUCCGGGGAUAACAGGCUGAUACCGCCCAAGAGUUCAUAUCGACGGCGGUGUUUGGCACCUCGAUGUCGGCUCAUCACAUCCUGGGGCUGAAGUAGGUCCCAAGGGUAUGGCUGUUCGCCAUUUAAAGUGGUACGCGAGCUGGGUUUAGAACGUCGUGAGACAGUUCGGUCCCUAUCUGCCGUGGGCGCUGGAGAACUGAGGGGGGCUGCUCCUAGUACGAGAGGACCGGAGUGGACGCAUCACUGGUGUUCGGGUUGUCAUGCCAAUGGCACUGCCCGGUAGCUAAAUGCGGAAGAGAUAAGUGCUGAAAGCAUCUAAGCACGAAACUUGCCCCGAGAUGAGUUCUCCCUGACUCCUUGAGAGUCCUGAAGGAACGUUGAAGACGACGACGUUGAUAGGCCGGGUGUGUAAGCGCAGCGAUGCGUUGAGCUAACCGGUACUAAUGAACCGUGAGGCUUAACC
rnacentral:rRNA from 1 species